rnacentral:rRNA from 2 species
CAGGAAAAGCCUCUAAGCAUCAGGUAACAUCAAAUCGUACCCCAAACCGACACAGGUGGUCAGGUAGAGAAUACCAAGGCGCUUGAGAGAACUCGGGUGAAGGAACUAGGCAAAAUGGUGCCGUAACUUCGGGAGAAGGCACGCUGAUAUGUAGGUGAAGUCCCUCGCGGAUGGAGCUGAAAUCAGUCGAAGAUACCAGCUGGCUGCAACUGUUUAUUAAAAACACAGCACUGUGCAAACACGAAAGUGGACGUAUACGGUGUGACGCCUGCCCGGUGCCGGAAGGUUAAUUGAUGGGGUCAGCGCAAGCGAAGCUCUUGAUCGAAGCCCCGGUAAACGGCGGCCGUAACUAUAACGGUCCUAAGGUAGCGAAAUUCCUUGUCGGGUAAGUUCCGACCUGCACGAAUGGCGUAAUGAUGGCCAGGCUGUCUCCACCCGAGACUCAGUGAAAUUGAACUCGCUGUGAAGAUGCAGUGUACCCGCGGCAAGACGGAAAGACCCCGUGAACCUUUACUAUAGCUUGACACUGAACAUUGAGCCUUGAUGUGUAGGAUAGGUGGGAGGCUUUGAAGUGUGGACGCCAGUCUGCAUGGAGCCGACCUUGAAAUACCACCCUUUAAUGUUUGAUGUUCUAACGUGGACCCGUGAUCCGGGUUGCGGACAGUGUCUGGUGGGUAGUUUGACUGGGGCGGUCUCCUCCUAAAGAGUAACGGAGGAGCACGAAGGUUGGCUAAUCCUGGUCGGACAUCAGGAGGUUAGUGCAAUGGCAUAAGCCAGCUUGACUGCGAGCGUGACGGCGCGAGCAGGUGCGAAAGCAGGUCAUAGUGAUCCGGUGGUUCUGAAUGGAAGGGCCAUCGCUCAACGGAUAAAAGGUACUCCGGGGAUAACAGGCUGAUACCGCCCAAGAGUUCAUAUCGACGGCGGUGUUUGGCACCUCGAUGUCGGCUCAUCACAUCCUGGGGCUGAAGUAGGUCCCAAGGGUAUGGCUGUUCGCCAUUUAAAGUGGUACGCGAGCUGGGUUUAGAACGUCGUGAGACAGUUCGGUCCCUAUCUGCCGUGGGCGCUGGAGAACUGAGGGGGGCUGCUCCUAGUACGAGAGGACCGGAGUGGACGCAUCACUGGUGUUCGGGUUGUCAUGCCAAUGGCACUGCCCGGUAGCUAAAUGCGGAAGAGAUAAGUGCUGAAAGCAUCUAAGCACGAAACUUGCCCCGAGAUGAGUUCUCCCUGACCCUUUAAGGGUCCUGAAGGAACGUUGAAGACGACGACGUUGAUAGGCCGGGUGUGUAAGCGCAGCGAUGCGUUGAGCUAACCGGUACUAAUGAACCGUGAGGCUUAACCUU